rnacentral:rRNA from 1 species
GAUGAACGCUGGCGGCGUGCUUAACACAUGCAAGUCGAACGAGAAGUGAAGACGGAAACCUUCGGGCGGAAGGCUUUAUUUCGAGUGGCGGACGGGUGAGUAACGCGUGGGUAACCUGCCUCAUACAGGGGGAUAACAGUUGGAAACGACUGUUAAUACCGCAUAAGACCACAGCACCGCAUGGUGCGGGGGUAACAACUCCGGUGGUAUGAGAUGGACCCGCGUUCGAUUAGCCAGUUGGCGGGGUAACGGCGCACCACAGCGACGAUCGAUAGCCGAUCUGUGAGGAAGGCCCGCGACACUUGGACUGAGACGCGGCGCAGACUCUUACGGGAGGGAGGAGUGGGGGAUAUUGCACAAUGGGGGAAAUCCUGAUGCAGCGACGCCGCGAGAGUGAAGAUGUAGUGCGAGAUGAAAAGCUCGAUAAGCAGGGAAGAAAAUGACGGUACCUGAGGAAGAAGCCCCGGCUAACUACGUG